UACGUAGGGCGCAAGCGUUGUCCGGAAUUAUUGGGCGUAAAGAGCUCGUAGGCGGUCUGUUACGUCCGCUGUGAAAACCCAGGGCUUAACCCUGGGCUUGCAGUGGAUACGGGUAGACUAGAGGCAGGUAGGGGAGAAUGGAAUUCCCGGUGUAGCGGUGAAAUGCGCAGAUAUCAGGAGGAACACCGGUGGCGAAGGCGGGCUACUGGGCCGAUACUGACGCUGAUGCGCGAAAGCCAGGGGAGCGAACGGG
rnacentral:rRNA from 1 species